GGGUAGAUAUUCUGCCGUUUAACAAGCUCCCACAGAGGAGAGAGGUAGCUGCCCGAGGAAUGAGCCCUUGAGUAACCGUGGUUGCUAGAUCCUCUUUCAUGAAGAUUCUGUUCAUAAAGGAAGUGGCUAUUCUUUUGCAAAACUGCCAGAGAUUGAGUGGUGGACUUCUGCAGUGGACUUCUGCAUUGUGUGGUGUUAAUGGAUUUGAUCUCUUAAAUGAGUGAGUGGAAAGUUGCUUAAUCUGAAAGCAGAAGAUAUUUGGCAUGGUGAAUAGGCAGAGAUGCCCUGUUCUUAAUGUUUAUUAAAACUGUAAUUCUAAUAGCAACAUUGUUGUAAUCUUUUUUAAACCAAUAUUUUAAUUCUAAAACCUUUUACCAGUUAGGCUGCAAUAAUAUUGAUGCUGUUUUGAUUAUAUUGUAGAUUGGCAUGGGGGGUGCUUUACUUUUUUGAAGUCAAAAAAGAAAGUUUGGUAGCUUCUGAAAAGGCUGAUGUAACAUAUAGUAGUAGUGAAAUACUGACAAAAAUUUAGUAUGUUCCCUGUUUCCAUUAUUCACUUUGAGAAUAGUUUGAAUUGUUUGGGUUAAUUUAAAUUGGUCUGAGAUAUUAAGAGGGACUUUUCAUAACUCUUAAAGGUAUGCUGUAUAAGGGAAUAAAGUCAUGCAAAUUCACAGAAUCAUGUCGCUUUAAUUGACGAUUGACAAAAUGUGACUUUGUUUUUCAAAAAUCUAAGAAAUUGCUGAAUAUUUUGUGUUCUUAAAUUCUUGUAUCUUUCAGUUCUCAGUGUUAUUUUCUUUUUCCAUGGUGCUCUCUUGUAACUUCCUCUUUGUCACCACCCCCUCCCGCUUGGUCUGCCAUCUGUUGGUUUGGCUCUUUAUUUCAGAGUAGGAAGGCAGGAAAGGGUUUUUGUACACAGAUAAAACGAGUCCUGUUUGGAGCUCAGUGAGCUGGAGUGCUUAUGCAGUAAGUCUGCUGAUGAUAAAUUCCAGAAGUACCAUAGGCCCAUAGGACUAGAAAGAUAGCGGUGACUCUGCAAUAUUGUCUGCAAGUUUUUUUUCUGUGACUGUUGCUUUAUUUAAUAAAUAAAAAUUAAGAAAUAAAUCUUACUUAAAUUUUUACUUACUAUAUUUUUUCAUGGAAAGCCAUAAAUUGGUUAAAUAUUGUUAACAGUCUUGUAAAAAGAGUAAUUAUAUAGAAGAGUUUAUCAUAUUGUUAGUGAAAUUCAUGUCAAAUGAUUUCUUGUAGUACUUUAUAAAUAUAAUUUGAUCAUCAUAAAUUUACAUUCAUUUAUGC
rnacentral:lncRNA from 1 species